CCUACGGGGGGCUGCAGUGGGGAAUAUUGCACAAUGGGCGCAAGCCUGAUGCAGCCAUGCCGCGUGUGUGAAGAAGGCCUUCGGGUUGUAAAGCACUUUCAGCGGGGAGGAAGGCGUUAAGGUUAAUAACCUUGGCGAUUGACGUUACCCGCAGAAGAGGCACCGGCUAACUCCGUGCCAGCAGCCGCGGUAAUACGGAGGGUGCAAGCGUUAAUCGGAAUUACUGGGCGUAAAGCGCACGCAGGCGGUCUGUCAAGUCGGAUGUGAAAUCCCCGGGCUCAACCUGGGAACUGCAUUCGAAACUGGCAGGCUAGAGUCUUGUAGAGGGGGGUAGAAUUCCAGGUGUAGCGGUGAAAUGCGUAGAGAUCUGGAGGAAUACCGGUGGCGAAGGCGGCCCCCUGGACAAAGACUGACGCUCAGGUGCGAAAGCGUGGGGAGCAAACAGGAUUAGAUACCCGAGUAGUC
rnacentral:rRNA from 1 species